GGUGGAUGCCUAGGCACUGAGAGCCGAUGAAAGACGUGAUAAGCUGCGAUAAGCUGCGGUAAGGAGCAAAUAUCCAUUGACCCGCAGAUUUCUGAAUGGGGAAACCUACGCAAGAAGACCUUGCGUACUCAUACAUGAAUACAUAGUGUAUGAGAGGGAACCCGGGGAACUGAAACAUCUAAGUACCCGGAGGAAGAGAAAGAAACAUCGAUUUCCUGAGUAGCGGCGAGCGAAAGGGAAAGAGCCCAAACCAGAGGAUUUAUCCACUGGGGUUAGGACUGCAUAAUUGAUCUGCAAUUGAUAGGAGAACGGUCUGGGAAGUCCGGCGAGAAAGCGUGAAAGCCGCGUAUCCGAAAUCGAAAGCAGCAAGGCAGUAUCCAGAGUACCACGAGACACGAGAAACCUUGUGGGAAUGAGCGGAGACCACUCCGUAAGGCUAAAUACUACUCAGUGACCGAUAGCGCAUAGUACUGUGAAGGAAAGGUGAAAAGGACCCCGGGAGGGGAGUGAAAGAGAACCUGAAACCCUGUGUUUACAAGCUGUCGAAGCACAUAAGUGCGACGGCGUACUUUUUGUAGAACGGUCCGGCGAGUUAUGAUGAGUGGUAAGGUUAAG
rnacentral:rRNA from 1 species